AACGAACGCUGGCGGCAGGCUUAACACAUGCAAGUCGAGCGCCCCGCAAGGGGAGCGGCAGACGGGUGAGUAACGCGUGGGAAUCUACCCAUCUCUACGGAAUAACGCAUGGAAACGUGUGCUAAUACCGUAUACGUCCUUCGGGAGAAAGAUUUAUCGGAGAUGGAUGAGCCCGCGUUGGAUUAGCUAGUUGGUGGGGUAAAGGCCUACCAAGGCGACGAUCCAUAGCUGGUCUGAGAGGAUGAUCAGCCACACUGGGACUGAGACACGGCCCAGACUCCUACGGGAGGCAGCAGUGGGGAAUAUUGGACAAUGGUCGCAAGCCUGAUCCAGCCAUGCCGCGUGAGUGAUGAAGGCCUUAGGGUUGUAAAGCUCUUUCGCACGUGACGAUGAUGACGGUAACGUGAGAAGAAGCCCCGGCUAACUUCGUGCCAGCCGCCGCCGUAACAC
rnacentral:rRNA from 1 species